AAAAAGAAAAAUCCAAAAAUCCCUCUGGAAAUUGUUUUUUUAAUAUUUCAACAAAUAUUUAAGAUUUCAGAUUUCUGUUCUGGACUAUGCAAAUGUAUGCAUAUUUAAUUAGAUAAUGCGUAAAUAAAUCAUUUGCAUACUUAGUCAAUUUCAGAAAACUUGUAACACAAAAGUUGUAAUUAAUCAUCUGGAAAUAUGGUGGAAUCUAUUAGUUUUGUUAUCCUAUUCACCUCAGGUGUUCUGCCUUAAAAGUUAAAACACUGCUUAUCUACCUUUAGUAAGAAAUAUCACGGAAAUCACAUUUAUUGGUAUGAACACGAGCGCAUCAUCAGCCUCUACUCUUCACAGCUCCUGGUCUUUCAUAAGAGCCCGCCUCUCAGGUCAACGCUGUGAAGCGAUUGGCUUUCGGUCAGAAGCACACUGCUGUGAUUGGCUGAGCCGAGCUGUCCAUCGAAGCGCUCCACGCCGCUCUCUCGUGUUUCCACGUUAAAUGAAAACAAACACUUCCGAAAGCUAAACAUUAUCGUGCACAAGCGACACAGUGUAACGGAACCGGCUCCUGAAGGCAGGGAUCGGGCCCCGGGGCCGCUGCGGGGGACAGGGGCACAUGCCACGCCACUGAAAGCCCCGAGGGCGGAGCGCAGCAGAACACCAGGCUCUUGGUGGGCGCUCCGGGUCUCUGUGUCUGAUGAGGAUGUCUGAGAGAGCUCUGGACGAGGACGAACACCAGCUCAACACGUCUCUGAACUGCAGCGGCGACACACAGCUGCAAACACCUGGACCGAGCGCUGAAAGACUCCAGGUACAGCGGCACGAGCUCCAUCUCCUCCCAGAGUUCAGUGCGGUGUGUCAUGAUGUGCUUCAGUUCUGCAUGCUGCUCAUUUAUCAUCGAGGAUCUGGCUGUGCUUCCUCCAUUACCCCAGGAUCAGCAGGAUUCAGGAGGACGAGGCUGAAGGACAGUCGGUCGGGGAACAGCCUCCAAAGCAGCUCAGAGAACGAGGCCCAGUCUUCAGAGCCGCGGCCGUGGAGCAGCUCCAGCCUCAACCUGAAGCAUCCCGGUCCUGACCCGCGGAGACCGCUCCAGCAGCAGCAGGAGCGCGGGACGCCUCUCAAACACAGGUCAGCAGUGCUGUCGUCUACAGUCCCAGCCUGACCUCACAGGCCUCCAGGUGUCACUCAUCUGUAGCUCCGCCUCCUGCCGCUCAGCCCACCAAUCACCUCACAGAACAGAUGCCGGUGUGUCACUGUUCGUCCAGCCAGUUCCCGGUGUCUGGACAGCCGUACCUGCGCAUGGGUCCAGUGCCAUACAGCGCUCAGAGUCAGAUUCCUCCCGCACCCCCGCAGCAGCCAGGUACAUCACUGCACACACACUAGGGCUGUCAAAAUAGAUGAAAAACUACAUUCGAAGUUUGUACUUAAAUAUCAUCAGUAUUCACAUUAUAUUCGAAUUUAAAAGGAAUAAUUUCAGGUAGGGGGAAGGAAGCUUUUGGCUUCUCACCUGAGGCCACAAGAGGGUACUAAUGCACUUUUAUGUUUAUAAAUGUUUAUAAACCAUAUAUAAUUAAGUUGCUUAAACAAUUAGAACAAAAACACAUCAUGUAUGUACAAUAUGUGUAGUUUAAUAUAAAAGACAGAAAAACCAAGAGUACUUUUUUAUUUAAAAACAUUAGAUGAGCACAUUGGAAAUUAAUUAAAUUUAUUUUUAUUUCCUAGUGGAAGUGCUUGGUACUGCGGCCAAACUAAAUCUGACUGAAACCUCAUGUUUUGUGAUAUCAACCUCAAAUUCGGAACAUAACUAGUUAAGAUUUAUAGCUUUGAUUUUCUUGCAGUUUUAGGGUAAAACAUGCUUUGGAAAUUAUAUAUAUUUUAUAUAAAAUAUUAAAAUAUAAUUUUUGUGCAUUUUUCAUACUAAUAAACUUUAAUUAAAGUUAUAAAAAUAAAACCUA
ensembl:lncRNA